GACGAACGCUGGCGGCGUGCUUAACACAUGCAAGUCGAACGGAGUGGCGAACGGGUGAGUAACACGUUGGUGACCUGACCUGCACUUCGGGAUAAGCCUGGGAAACUGGGUCUAAUACCGGAUAGUGUGGGAUGGGCCCGCGGCCUAUCAGCUUGUUGGUGGGGUAAUGGCCUACCAAGGCGGCGACGGGUAGCCGGCCUGAGAGGGUGGACGGCCACACUGGGACUGAGACACGGUCCAGACUCCUACGGGAGGCAGCAGUGGGGAAUAUUGCACAAUGGGCGAAAGCCUGAUGCAGCCAUGCCGCGUGUAUGAAGAAGGCCUUCGGGUUGUAAAGUACUUUCAGCGGGGAGGGUGGUUAAUAACCGCAGCAAUUGACGGUACCCGCAGAAGAAGCACCGGUACUCGUGCCAGCAGCCGCGGUAAUUC
rnacentral:rRNA from 1 species